rnacentral:rRNA from 1 species
GACGAACGCUGGCGGCGUGCUUAACACAUGCAAGUCGAACGAAGAGCGAUGGAAGCUUGCUUCUCUCAAUCUUAGUGGCGAACGGGUGAGUAACGCGUAAUCAACCUGCCCUUCAGAGGGGGACAACAGUUGGAAACGACUGCUAAUACCGCAUACGAUCUAAUCUCUGCAUCGAGGAUAGAUGAAAGGUGGCCUCUUCAUGUAAGCUAUCACUGAAGGAGGGGAUUGCGUCUGAUUAGCUAGUUGGUGGGGUAACGGCCAACCAAGGCGAUGAUCAGUAGCAGGUCUGAGAGGAUGAACGGCCACAAUGGGACUGAGACAAGGCACAGACUCCUACGGGAGGCAGCAGUGGGGAAUCUUCCGCAAUGGACGAAAGUCUGACGGAGCAACGCCGCGUGAGUGAUGACGGCCUUCGGGUUGUAAAGCUCUGUUAAUCGGGACGAAAGGCCUUCUUGCGAAUAGUGAGAAGGAUUGACGGUACCGGAAUAGAAAGCCACGGCUAACUACGUG